GCGCGAGGGCCUUUGCAGCCCCCGCCCCCGCCCCCUCUUUGCCCAGCCAACGCCAACGCCAACGCCAAAGUCAAAGCCAGCGCCUCCGCGUCCCUCUCCCCUCCCCACCAACUCCCCCAAACAUGGACACCAGCAAGCUCCGGGCUUUUGUGAAAUUAUGUCAACAAGAUCCUGCCCGACUACACAACGAGGAGCUGAGCUUCUUGAGGGAGUGGGUGGAGAGCUUGGGUGGGAGGAUACCUCCUCCUCCAAGAAGAAUAAGAUCUGAAGAAAGAUUCAAGGGAGGGGAGGAAAGAAAGUUAUGGGAUGAAACCAACAAGAAAGAAGAGGUUGAAACUGAGGAAAGUGACCUAGAACUUGAUAAUUCAGGAGUGAUUGAAGACGAUAUGGACGGCCCCCAGGAAAUGGGAGAUGCAACUGCAGAGGUAACAGAUGAGAUGAUUGAUCAGGCCAACGAGAUGAAGGUGAAGGGCCUCGAUGCCCUGCAUAAUGGUGAAUUCCAGAAAGCCCUUGAACUAUUCACAGAGGCCAUCAAAUUGAAUCCUUGGUUGGCCAUUUUAUAUACCCUAAGAGCCAGUAUCUUUAUUGAAUUGCAAAAGCCAAAUGCUGCAAUCAGAGAUUGUAGCAAAGCAAUUGACCUUAACCCCCACACAGCUGAACCUUACAAAUGGAGAGGGAAAGCACACAGACUUCUGGGACACUGGGAGGAGGCAAGCCAAGAUCUGUCCUUGUCUUGUAAACUAGACUUUGAUGAAGAUGCUAAUGCUGUGCUUAAGGAUGUUCAACCAAGGCUCCAGAGGAUUCAAGAACACCGGAGAAAAAAAGAGCUACGCCAGAAGAAACGUGAGCAGAGAUGUGAGGAGCAAAAGUACAGAGAAAGGUUAGAAAAAAUGAGGAAGGCUAGAGAGGAGUAUGAUAAAGCUAAACAAGAGGAAGAAGAUAGGAAAAAGGCAGCUCACUUUGCCCCUUUCCAAUUUUUUCUAGGAGAACUCCCUAGAAUGAGGAGGAGAAUGCGGACCAUUCCUGGUACAUCAGUGCUCAAUGAAAUUCUUGGUGACCCAGAAAUUCUUACAGCCAUGCAAGAUCCAGAAGUCAUGCACGCAUUCCAGGAUGUGGCCCGGCAUCCAGAAACCAUGGGCAGGUAUAAGAACAACUUAAAGGUUAUGAAUUUCUUCAGCAAAUUGUCAAACAAAUUUGGAGGGUAUGAGGACAUGACAGGUGAAGAUCCAGAGCCUGAUGAGGAAUUAGAUGAAGUUCCCAGUGAAGAUAGCUUUGAGGUUUUGGAUGAAGGUGAUCUUUGGCUCCCAAGGAAAUGCCUUGAUGAUUAUCUCAACAACUUUGAACGACAAGGUCUGCAAAAAGGGAGGAAUGAGAACUUGGAGGUUGUACCUAGUGAAGAAGAAGUCAAUUUAAGGCGGCUGCCCUAUUUUAAGGAUUUGGAAGAGCUCAGUGAAGAAGAACAGUAAGUGUGGGGUGUCGGGGUCUGACUCCGGAAAGACUGAUGGAACCUCUGCUGGUUAGGAACAUCAGGCCCAGCUGUGCUGCUGAAACAUGGUCCUGGACGAGAAGGAACCAGCGCACAUUAAACACUGGACCUAGAGUAUAUAGAAGACUCUGAAUGUGUCAAGGGUGAAGCCUCCUAUGAGUUGACAUAAUUUUUAGUUUGCACCCCAAACUGGACUCCCUGUGUAUUCUUGGGAAUCAAGAUGUAUGCCAAUCAGUCUGAACCAGAAACUGCUUGUGUAACUGGGACUUUUAGAUAAGCAGACCAUCCUACCUUCAUGGUCUAGCAUGGUCCAGCAAGGGAAAAGAACGCUGCUUUUGCCAUCACCUUGUUCCUUCCCUUUAGGAGAGGUUUUGUCCUUUUUUCUACUUUUAUUACCUCUUUCUCCUUUCCUAUGCCAUUUCCCUUUAGGGGAAAAAUUCUCUUAUCUCCUCCUUCAUCUGUUGUACUGUAAUAAAAACUUCUGCACUGAUUGCGAACUCUUUGCUUUAGCUUUGGGUUCCACAUGCAUCUUCAUUUCUCUUGUAAUAAAUCUAGUUGCAAUGCAAUA